rnacentral:misc_RNA from 1 species
UCUCCGUAGGUGAACCUGCGGAGGGAUCAUUACUGAGUGAGGGUCUCCGGGCCCGACCUCCAACCCUUUUGUGAACCACCUCGUUGCUUCGGGGGCGACCCUGCCGUUCGGGCAGUGCGCCCCCGAAGGUCUCCAAACACUGCAUCUUUGCGUCGGAGUUUAACACAAAUGAAACAAAACUUUCAACAACGGAUCUCUUGGUUCUGGCAUCGAUGAAGAACGCAGC